rnacentral:rRNA from 1 species
UACGUAGGGUGCAAGCGUUAAUCGGAAUUACUGGGCGUAAAGCGUGCGCAGGCGGUUAUGUAAGACAGGUGUGAAAUCCCCGGGCUUAACCUGGGACCUGCAUUUGUGACUGCAUUGCUGGAGUGCGGCAGAGGGGGAUGGAAUUCCGCGUGUAGCAGUGAAAUGCGUAGAUAUGCGGAGGAACACCGAUGGCGAAGGCAAUCCCCUGGGCCUGCACUGACGCUCAUGCACGAAAGCGUGGGGAGCAAACAGG